rnacentral:tRNA from 1 species
GGGUGCUUAGCUCAGUUGGCAGAGCGGCGCCCUUACAAGGCGCAGGUCGGCGGUUCGACCCCGUCAGCACCCACCA